rnacentral:rRNA from 1 species
GUGGGGAACAACGUACGGAAACGUACGCUAAUACCGCAUAAUUCUUACGAGAUAAAGCAGGGGAUUGAUUGAAUAUCAACCUUGCGCUUUUAGAUAAUUCCAUGCCGGAUUAGCUAGUUGGUAGAGUAAAAGCCUACCAAGGUUACGAUCCGUAGCUGGUCUGAGAGGAUGAUCAGCCACACUGGGACUGAGAUACGGCCCAGACUCCUACGGGAGGCAGCAGUGGGGAAUAUUGGACAAUGGGGGAAACCCUGAUCCAGUCAUGCCGCGUGUGUGACGAAGGCCUUUGGGUUGUAAAGCACUUUCAGCGAGGAAGAAAAAUUAUAAAAGAACAAGUUAUAAGUAUGACGGUACUCGCAGAAGAAGCACCGGCUAACUCCGUGCCAGCAGCCGCGGUAAAACGGAGGGUGCAAGCGUUAAUCAGAAUUACUGGGCGUAAAGGGCAUGUAGGUGGUUUGUUAAGCUUUAUUUGAAAUCCCUAUGCUUAACAUAGGAACUGGAUAAAGAACUGACAAACUAGAGUGCAGAAGAGGAAGGUAGAAUUCCAGGUGUAGCGGUGAAAUGCGUAGAUAUCUGGAGGAAUACCAGUGGCGAAGGCGACCUUCUGGGCUGACACUGACACUGAGAUGCGAAAGCGUGGGGAGCAAACAGGAUUAGAUACCCUGGUAGUCCACGCUGUAAACGAUAUCAACUAGCCGUUUGAUUCUUAAAGAAUUUGGUGGCGUAGCUAACGCGAUAAGUUGAUCGCCUGGGGAGUACGGUCGCAAGGCUAAAACUCAAAUGAAUUGACGGGGGCCCGCACAAGCGGUGGAGCAUGUGGUUUAAUUCGAUGCAACGCGCAGAACCUUACCUACUCUUGACAUCCAAAGUACUUUCCAGAGAUGGAAGGGUGCCUUAGGGAACUUUGAGACAGGUGCUGCAUGGCUGUCGUCAGCUCGUGUUGUGAAAUGUUG